GCCAUAAGUCCCGGCUCAUCGCUCAGGAAGGGAGUAAGCUUGAAGAUCCCCGAAAAGAGACACGGGGGACAACCUGGGCUAGGGCCAAGAGCUCCGGCUGAGCCAGCGCGGGAUGCAGAGGCCUGAGGACGCGGACAGAAGGGCCUUCGUACUGCCUGCAGCCACGAGUGUUUUGUUUUAAGGCUCUCAGAUGUUGCCCUUCCUCAAAACCCCCUCCUUCCCAAGUCAGCACAGGCGACCUACAGGCCGGAGGCUACUCCUACCAUAGACUGCGUCCUUCCGAUCGUCCUCCAUGGCCUCAACCGAGGAGAGCUGAGUCCGAAGCCAGCGCGACCCCAACCCAAGCGGGCGGGAGACACCGCGCGCUGCUGGCCCCGCCCUGCCCCGCCUGACACCGCCCCCAGCGCGCACGCCCAAGACAGCCCCGCCCCUUAGGGGCGUGCCCAGGGAGGGGCGUUGGGGGGCAGCCACCUUCUGGUUUCCAGUCCGCUCUCUCUGUGGACAAUUAGUGUGUUGCAUCUGCUGAGAACUUUACGACUGUAAUGGAGGCCAAGGUUGAAGGCAUUGCUGCGUGGCUAGUCUAUUACACGCACAAGAUGGUUACAAGAACACCUAACGGAAUGACCAAGGAUCGAGGAAGCCAUCUGAACCAUGAUGGCCCUUCGCAGAUGACUUAAGAGAGUUUUGCUUAUCUCUUUAUGCGGAUGGACCUCUUUAAUUUGAUCACCAAAUAGUAUGAGAAAACUCUGACACAUUAAAGCAACACACGCCAGGAAAUUAUUGAUCACCAGGCCAGUGCUUGAGCCACAAAUAAUCUAUAGUUGCUCUAUUUUGUAGAACUGUGGUUCCGUUUGCCUUUCUCUUAACUAAUUUCUUCUAAUUUUUUUUUUGCUGUAAUAUCAAUAGUUGUACUAAUCAUGCAAGCGAUUUUGGAAACCUC